UUUAAAAAAAAAUACAGAAGCAAGUUUAUAGGGUCCUCUAGAAGAUCAAAUCGUGCUCUACACAAAAUCCCCCAAUCUCGCCCAACGGAACAGGAACCGCUUCAUCCCGCUAAUACGUUAUCAAAGCGAAGAAAACUAAAACAAACGCAGUGGCUAAGUAGCAGUUACGCAAAAUCCCAAAAAUAUCAUCUCUCUCUUUUCCUUCAUUUGCCCUCGCUUUCUCGGCAAACAAACAUAGCUAUAAAUUAAUAAACAGGUUUAUGAAAAAGUUCAUGAAAUUU
rnacentral:misc_RNA from 1 species